GACAAAUCUGACGCUCCCAGGAACAGCGCAGGAAGGGUUUGGUACUGAUCUGGGAGCCUGUGAUUUAGAGGCAUAUUCCUGGUCACUGCCCCCUGGAGGAUGGGAAAGGAAGAAGCAUUGCAAGCUGCAAAAUUGGAACGUAAAGUCCUUAGCGUGAAAGGAGACAAGACAAGAGAUCAUCAUGGCUGUCCUUUGAGAGACUCCACCCAGCAGCUGACUUAGACAGAUGCAGAGACCCACAGCCAAACAGUGGAUGGAGCAUGGGGAUUUUUAUGGAAGAGUUGGGGGAAGGAUUUUGGGCCUCAAAGGGGACAGAUACUCCACAGGAAGACCAACAGAGUCAACUAACCUGAACUCUGGGGGCUCUCAAAAAAUGAACCACCAACCAAAGAGCAUACAUGGGCUGGAAGUAGCCCCCUCUACAUUAGUAGCAGAGGUGCAGCUUACUCUCUAUGAGGAUCUCAACAACUGGAGUGAGGGCUAUUCCAAAAGCUUUUGCCUGUCUAUGAGAUAUGUUCUUCUAGCUGGGCGGUCUUGUCUGGCCUCAGUGGAAGAGGAUGUACCUAGACCCACAGAGACUUGAUAUGCCAUGGUAGGGGUAUAUCCCUGGGAGCUCCCACCCACUCAGAGGAGAAGGGGAUGGGGGGAUGAAGGGAGGGAUUGAGAUGUAAAGUGAAUAAAUGAAAUAAAAUAACAAAAUAAAAAUAGUUCAAAUAAACUA